rnacentral:rRNA from 1 species
GACGAACGCUGUCGUCGUUCCUACUACAUGCAAGUAGCGCGCAGUUGCGAACGGGUGAGUAACGGGUAGGUAACUGCCUCAUAGUGGGGGAUAACUAUUGGAAACGAUAGCUAAUACCGCAUACUGUGAGAUGGACCUGCGUUGUAUUAGCUAGUGGGUGAGGUAAAGGCUCACCAAGGCGAAGAUACAUAGCCGACCGGAGAGGGUUGUCGGGCACACUUGGACUGUAACACGGCACAGACUUCUACGGGAGGCAGCAGUAGGGAAUCUUCGGCAAUGGAAGGAAUGCUGACCGAGCAACGCCUCGUGAGGGAAGAAGGUUUUCGGAUCGUAAAGCUUUGUUGGUAGAGAAGAGGUAACUAACCAGAAAGGGAUGGGUAACUACGUGACAGCCGCCGCGGUAAUAC